rnacentral:rRNA from 1 species
UACGAAGGGUGCAAGCGUUAAUCGGAAUUACUGGGCGUAAAGGGUGCGUAGGCGGUUCGUUAAGUCUGUCGUGAAAUCCCCGGGCUCAACCUGUGAAUGGCGAUGGAUACUGGCGAGCUAGAGUGUGUCAGAGGAUGGUGGAAUUCCCGGUGUAGCGGUGAAAUGCGUAGAGAUCGGGAGGAACAUCAGUGGCGAAGGCGGCCAUCUGGGACAACACUGACGCUGAAGCACGAAAGCGUGGGGAGCAAACAGG